UUACUGAAAAUUCACUAUUUUCGUAGGGGGGUACACAUAGAUUUUGAGAAAAAUUCAAAAAAAAUUGAAAAUACUGUUUUAAUACAUAUUUGAAUCAUUUAAUAAAAUAUGAUGAAGUUCAAAGAGGUUUGGAUCCUUUGUUGUCUCCGUUUCUCUAAGGAAUAACAAUUUUAUAGUGGUUAGUCUAAUGAUUUAGGGAGUAUUUGCAGUUUUGCUAAAUUAAUUGAUAAAAAAUUAGAACGAUGUCCAUGUACC
rnacentral:lncRNA from 1 species